GAUGGAGGAAAGUAUUUUGUGGCGGAGCUCCCCUGCUGGAGUACAGAGAAACCCUGGAUAGACGCUUGGCUGCUAACAGGGGCCGGUCUUUCAUCCUGGGGCUGCCUCCAACGCAGGCUGCUGAGGGCCGAACCCAAGCACCGAGAGGGAAGGUUUUGAAGGCGAGUACAUAGGGAAAGCCAGGCAGGGAUCUCCCGAAGCUCCUGUGGCACUCAUCUAGGGACUGCCGAUCUGAGCACGUGUCGGGAAAGGAUGGCGGUGUCACACUCGUCACUGUCCCCGGGAGGACCCUCUUUAAACGCAGCCGCACCGGCACCUCGCACAGCGCAGCCUCUGCCUCCGCCGCCGGCGCGGGCGUUUUCCUGCUCGCCCUGCAGCAGCCCCGAGCCGCCGUCUCCCGCCCCGCCGAAGGAAGAAAGGUCGAGACCGAGAAGGCGGUAGCCCGCGGCAGACGUUACCUCCACCCACUCGGCCUCGGAGUCGUGCUCGGGCGGUUUCACCUGCAGCCGAGCGGACACGCACUGCUGCAGCAGAGCCCGAGCUAACGCCGGCCGCCCGGCCGCCGCCAUCCCGGGCCCUGCGCGGCCUGAGGGCUGGGCGCUCGCUCAGGCCGGGUAGUGCCUCUCCAGCGCCGCAGGCUUAUGGCUGACGGGGUCCGGCACCGCGUUCCCAGAGGAGCCUGCGU